UAAUCUGCCCUUUUCAGGGCAACCAAAUAUUUCAUUCGUGGAAUUUU
rfam:Trachymyrmex zeteki contig14800, whole genome shotgun sequence.